UGGCGGCCGCUUGUCCUCUUGCGCUUCUCCCGGCAGCCGACUAGACUUGGGGGUUUCGUUCACACGUCUGCGAGUCUAAGAAGGUGGCGACACCCCAGCUCUGCGCGAGGACAGGCCCGACCUCCUGGCGCCUGCAGGUGGGGAGGAACCCGGCUCAGGGUAGAAAGCCUGGGGAGGUGCUGAGCUGGCGUGUUCCGCAUCUCCUAGCCCGGGGAGCCCGCGGAGGUGGAGGGUGAGUGCAAGAGCCUGACUGGGACGCACCCACGUCUCCCAGCGGGGCGCCGGGACCGGUCUUCACCAGCCGGUUUGCUCCGGGUUCAUUUCCCGCUCAGUCCCAUCCAUUCCCCGGAAGAAUCAUCACAUGACCCAGGAAUUCCACUUCGAGGUACACGCCACAAAGAACUGGAGCCAGAGAGACCCUCGUGCAGCAAUGCCCACUGCACCGUGAGACACAAGAGCCAGAAGGUGGAAACAGCCAAGAAUUCCUCAACAGACACGUGGUGCAUGAACACUGUAGCAAACUAAAAGAGGAA